rnacentral:rRNA from 1 species
CCUACGGGGGGCUGCAGUGGGGAAUAUUGGACAAUGGGGGGAACCCUGAUCCAGCCAUGCCGCGUGUGUGAAGAAGGCCCUCGGGUUGUAAAGCACUUUCAGUGAGGAAGAACGCCUGGUGGUUAAUACCCAUCAGGAAAGACAUCACUCACAGAAGAAGCACCGGCUAACUCCGUGCCAGCAGCCGCGGUAAUACGGAGGGUGCGAGCGUUAAUCGGAAUUACUGGGCGUAAAGCGCGCGUAGGUGGCUUGAUAAGCCGGUUGUGAAAGCCCCGGGCUCAACCUGGGAACAGCAUCCGGAACUGUCAAGCUAGAGUGCAGGAGAGGAAGGUAGAAUUCCCGGUGUAGCGGUGAAAUGCGUAGAGAUCGGGAGGAAUACCAGUGGCGAAGGCGGCCUUCUGGACUGACACUGACACUGAGGUGCGAAAGCGUGGGUAGCAAACAGGAUUAGAUACCCCAGUAGUC